AUCACAUGAUGAGAACACUUAGGAAGUAACUCCUUGAAUCGCUUCCAAGCCUUAUACAAAGACUCGUCACCCAAUUGUUGGAAGUUGUGAUCUCGUUCCUCAACUU
rnacentral:snoRNA from 1 species